GUGCACCAGGCGAGAAACCUCCGCAAUGCGGGCAACCGCGACGGGGGACCCCAGUGCCGUGGCAUCGCCACGGCUUUUCCGGAGUGUAAAAAGCUCCGGGAAUAAGGGCUGGGCAAGGCCGGUGGCAGCCGCCGCGGUAAUACCGGCGGCCGAGUGGUGGCCGCUAUUAUUGGGCCUAAAGCGUCCGUAGCCGGGCCUGUAAGUCCCUGGCGAAAUCCCACGGCUCAACCGUGGGGCUUGCUGGGGAUACUGCAGGCCUUGGGACCGGGAGAGGCCGGGGGUACCCCUGGGGGUAGGGGUGAAAUCCUAUAAUCCCAGGGGGACCGCCAGUGGCGAAGGCGCCCGGCUGGAACGGGUCCGACGGUGAGGGACGAAGGCCAGGGGAGCGAACCGGAUUAGAUACCCCUGUAGU
rnacentral:rRNA from 1 species